GGAGCGGUAGUUAAGUUGGUUAUAACGCCGGCCUGUCACGUCGGAGGGCGCGAGUUCAAGUCUCGUCCGCUCCG
rfam:Desulfovibrionaceae bacterium CG1_02_65_16 cg1_0.2_scaffold_8346_c, whole genome shotgun sequence.